AGGAAGCACCGGCUAACUCCGUGCCAGCAGCCGCGGUAAUACGGAGGGUGCGAGCGUUGUUCGGAAUUACUGGGCGUAAAGGGCGCGUAGGUGGCUAAUUAAGUCAGGUGUGAAAUCCUUCCGCUUAACGGGAGAAGUGCACUUGAAACUGCUUAGCUAGAGUACGGGAGAGGAAGGUGGAAUUCCUGGUGUAGAGGUGAAAUUCAUAGAUAUCGGGAAGAACACCGGUGGCGAAGGCGGCCUUCUGGCCCGUUACUGACGCUGAGGCGCGAAAGCGUGGGGAGCAAACAGGAUUAGAUACCCUGGUAGUCCACGCCGUAAACGUUGGGCACUAGGCGUGGGAGGUUUUUAUUCCUUCUUUGCCGAAGCUAACGCA
rnacentral:rRNA from 1 species